rnacentral:rRNA from 1 species
UACGUAGGGACCGAGCGUUGUCCGGAAUCAUUGGGCGUAAAGAGCGUGUAGGCGGCUCGGUAAGUCCGCUGUAAAAGUCAAAGGCUCAACCUUUGAAUGUCAGUGGAUACUGCCGGGCUAGAGUCCGGAAGAGGCGAGUGGAACUCCUGGUGUAGCGGUGGAAUGCGCAGAUAUCAGGAAGAACACCAGUGGCGAAGGCGGCUCACUGGCCCGAUACUGACGCUGAGGCACGAAAGCGUGGGGAGCAAACAGG